GCUUAACACAUGCAGUCGAGCGCUCCCAAGGGGAGACGGCAGACGGGUGAGUAACGCGUGGGAAUCUACCCAACUCUACGGAAUAACCCAGGGAAACUUGGACUAAUACCGUAUACGUCCUCCGGGAGAAAGAUUUAUCGGAGUUGGAUGAGCCCGCGUUGGAUUAGCUAGUUGGUGGGGUAAUGGCCUACCAAGGCGACGAUCCAUAGCUGGUCUGAGAGGAUGAUCAGCCACAUUGGGACUGAGACGCGGCCCAAACUCCUACGGGAGGCAGCAGUGGGGAAUAUUGGACAAUGGGCGAAAGCCUGAUCCAGCCAUGCCGCGUGAGUGAUGAAGGCCCUAGGGUUGUAAAGCUCUUUCAACGGUGAAGAUAAUGACGGUAACCGUAGAAGAAGCCCCGGCUAACUUCGUGCCAGCAGCCGCGGUAAUACGAAGGGGGCUAGCGUUGUUCGGAAUUACUGGGCGUAAAGCGCACGUAGGCGGACAUUUAAGUCAGGGGUGAAAUCCCGGGGCUCAACCCCGGAACUGCCUUUGAUACUGGGUGUCUAGAGUCCGGAAGAGGUGAGUGGAAU
rnacentral:rRNA from 1 species